rnacentral:rRNA from 1 species
UACGGGGGGGGCAAGCGUUGUUCGGAAUUACUGGGCGUAAAGGGCUCGUAGGCGGCCAACUAAGUCAUACGUGAAAUCCCUCGGCUUAACCGGGGAACUGCGUCUGAUACUGGAUGGCUUGAGUUCGGGAGAGGGAUGCGGAAUUCCAGGUGUAGCGGUGAAAUGCGUAGAUAUCUGGAGGAACACCGGUGGCGAAGGCGGCAUCCUGGACCGAUACUGACGCUCAUGAGCGAAAGCGUGGGGAGCGAUCCGG